rnacentral:rRNA from 1 species
GACGAACGCUGGCGGCGUGCCUAACACAUGCAAGUCAACUUGACUGAAGGAGCAAUCUGACAGUAGAGUGGCGCAAGGGUGCGUAACGCGUAAGUAACUUGCCCAAGGUAAGGAAUAACGUCGAGAAAUCGGCGCUAAUACCUCAUAAUGCAGCGGAUCCGCAUGGAUAUGUUGUUAAAGGUUUACCGCCUUGGGAUAGGCUUGCGUCUGAUUAGCUAGUUGGUGUGGUAACGGCACACCAAGGCUACGAUCAGUAACUGGUCUGAGAGGAUGAUCAGUCACACUGGAACUGGGACACGGUCCAGACUCCUACGGGAGGCAGCAGUGAGGAAUAUUGGGCAAUGCUCGAAAGAGUGACCCAGCAACGCCGCGUGGAGGAUGAAGGUAUUCUAUAUCGUAAACUCCUGUGAGAGCAGACGAAGACAGAUUAUAAUCUGGAUGACUGUAUGCUCAGAGGAAGCCCCGGCU